GGUUGGGAUGGGCACAGCCUGGGGCUUUUCCCUAUGCCUGGAGUGAGGUGGGGAUUUCACUGCAGCAUAGGAGCUGUUCUCAGUAUGGGGCUCUCUUCAGUUUUGGGUAGGAUCCUUUCUACAGAAUGGAGCUGAAGAAAACUAUUAGUUAAAUCUCAUUAAUGCUAUAAAUUGUCUGAAGGAGAUAAUAUGCCUCUGAAAAAUGCUCUUGGGUAGAAAACCCCAGAAGGAGACAACAUGGUGUGGUAGCAUGUGCAACAGCCAUGUUCCAGCAGAGAUCUAUCACCAGUGCCUUGGUUUCUCCCGCUACUAAAGGACAGGCAGCUCGUUGCUCUGGCGCUGCAGUGGAGCUGGAAAAGGCAGGGAGGGGAUACGGGAGCACAGCUCUGUCCUUGCCACGGCUGGAGGCUCCCUGACCAUCGCUCUCUUCAGCCAGCACAGCCCCACUGCGGCUCCUGCCCGUGGGGCUGCACAGCCACGGCACAGAAUGAAACCUCCCUCACGAUGAGUGGGAUGUCCUGUCCAGCCUUUGUCUGGUGCCUCAGAGCAAUUUGGAUGUCUUCAAUGUACUGUAUCCCAUUGCCAGCCCUGCAGAGAGGUCACUGCCACACUAGGAUAUUUCAAAUGUCACUGGACACAGUGGAGCAACUGAAUCUCACCUUCUCUAUCAAGAAUCUAUAUAUUUCAUUUUAACAAUACAAAUUGGUGUGAUAUUGUCACUGAGAUAUUCCAUCCUUCACGAAAGUAGUUUCCAAGCUGUUAUUAUGUCUGAUGGAAACCCCUAAGCCAAUCUUUUAAAUUGUUGCUCUUUGUGUUUGGGAUGUUUUUGCAACCCAGAACUGAAACAGCAAGUCCUUAGCAAAUGUGGUCAUUGCUUCAAGAAGAAUUAAAUUGUUAUGAAGCAAUUAAAAGCCUAAAGCAAAACAGCAGUUAUUUGGAAACCAGCUUAAUUUUGGUACUAUUAUGAGAUAUUAUAUUGCGCCUGACAGAAUUUUGAUAUCAUUGCAAUAAACUUCAACUGGAGCUUAUGGGAUGUGACA
rnacentral:lncRNA from 1 species